rnacentral:rRNA from 1 species
UACGGAGGGUGCAAGCGUUGUCCGGAUUUAUUGGGUUUAAAGGGUGCGUAGGCGGCGCGUUAAGUCUGGGGUGAAAGCCCGUUGCUCAACAACGGAACUGCCCUGGAAACUGGCGCGCUUGAGUACAGACGAGGGCGGCGGAAUGGAUGCUGUAGCGGUGAAAUGCAUAGAUAGCAUCCAGAACCCCGAUUGCGAAGGCAGCUGCCUAGGCUGUAACUGACGCUGAGGCACGAAAGCGUGGGGAGCGAACAGG